rnacentral:piRNA from 1 species
UCUUCAAUGUAUGGACCCAAC